AGAGUACUGUGCAACAAACAAGAGUUGGCCGAGAUGCAUUUUUUAAUUUCAUGAAAAAAGAACGACAUGAAAUGGGGAAAGUGGCCAAUGCAAAGUUGGACCAUAAGGUACAAGAAGAGAUUAGUAAUAAGUGGAGGAAAUUGAACACU